CCCUGCCCCCGCUGCUCGGGGACCAUGGGAUGCUGCACCGGCCGCUGCACCCUCAUCUUCCUCUGCACUUUGCAGCUGCUUGCUGCACUAGAGAGGCAAGUGUUCGACUUCCUGGGAUACCAGUGGGCCCCUAUCCUCGCCAACUUCCUGCACAUCAUCAUCGUUAUCCUGGGGCUGUUCGGCACCAUCCAGUACAGACCUCGCUACAUCGUGGUGUAUGCCAUCUGGACUGCAGUCUGGGUCACCUGGAACAUCUUCAUCAUCUGCUUUUACUUAGAAGUGGGAGGGCUCUCAAAGGACAGCGAACUCCUGACAUUCAACAUCUCCCGGCACCAAUCCUGGUGGAGUGAAAAUGGCCCUGGCUGUGUAAGGAAGGAGGCUUCAAUGUCUGGCCUCAAGGGGCUGGAUAACCAUUCCUACAUCUCUGUCAUCGGCUGUGCCCUGGAGUACCGGUACAUCGAGGUCAUGCACAGCUCCUUCCAGAUCCUCAUCGCGCUGGUGGGUUUUGUGUAUGCCUGUUACGUGGUUAGUGUUUUUACAGAAGAAGAAGACAGCUUUGAUUUCAUUGGUGGAUUUGAUCCAUUUCCUCUCUACCAUGUCAAUGAAAAACCCACCAACCUUUUGUUCAAGCAGACAUACCUGUAGACUUUUUCCCAAACAAACAACAUGAAUUUGCAAACUCUUUUGAUCAUCCUGAAGCUGCAUGCAUAAGAGGCCUGCGUAAGUGAAGAGGAGCCAGAGGAUGGAUAAACCUUGCACUCCACCAAAGGUGCUGCAGGAAACAGUCCCCUGGGGCCUGGAUCUUUGGCAGAGGAAAUGCAGGAUGGUGAACUCCAUUCCAUUUUUUUGUUCCUUGUCUUCUUUCCAAACGCAAUGAAUGUACAUCAAAGAAUGGCCACACAGUUGGUUUUUAAUUAAUUCUCCAAGUGCCCUGACGAACCUUUCCUACCACAGUCUGCUGGUACUGGCCCAGAAAUGGCACAGGCCUAAAGACCUCUGGCAGAACAAGUUCACCAAGAGCCUCUCCCAAGAGCUACAGGUGAAGUCGGAGCUGCUUCCUUGCGCCGUGGAUCCCGAAGGAAGGAAGCAGCGCGUAACCUCCUGGGACAUUUCGUAUGUUCUGUAGUUAGUUUCCUCCCCUUUUUCUGAACAGAGCCUAAAUCCCCUAACACAACUUCAUCUCCUCCCUGCCUGUAUAAAAAUGAGGUGGGGGCUCUUCACACUUGAGUUCCUUAGGCAUUGUUGGGUUCUAAGUUAUAGAUGAGAACUUUUCCCUUCUGUGUCCCGCCCGUGCAGGAGCCCUUGCUCGUUCUCCGUAGGCAUGGCAGUAGGCAUUUGUCCUGAGUUCAGUCUCUGUGGCCUAACUCCCGUAAUGCUGAACAGCUGAAAACUAGUCCAGCCGUCAGCUCUUCACUCAGCAUGCAGCUUCACCCCGUUUCAACCACCUGAGCCAUUCUUGGAGCAGCUGUAGCUUACUCUGGGUCUGCCCAGCUACAUGAAAUUAACCCUGGUGUAGCUGAAUCCUGCCACAGGCCGCUGGAAAAGGCCAGUUCCUCAUGGAUCAGAGGUGGGUUUGCACCUGCCUUCUUCACCUUGAGCCACACCUAUUCCAUGGUAACAGCCUGAUGGAAGAGUUUCAUUUGUGACAGGCUUUUUGAGGGGAGGGAAAGGGCUGAAGGGGGAAUGAGAGUGUAAUUAAAUUGCAUUAAUGAGCUGCAGCAAUUAAUAAGAAGAACAAAACCAAGUCAGUUUUGUUAGCUGUGUCUCCCAGCAUGUUAAGUGUCAAAAGCAGAAAAGGAGCAGUUGUCAGCCAGCCCUGGCAUUUUUGGGCUGGUACUUCAAGUGCUGUUGUAAUUCAUUAUUGUCUUGCCUAAUUUGUUUGGGAUUACUUGGCAUUUUUUGAGAAAUGCUUUUCAGAAGGGUCAAGCUCGAAGCCAUGCUAGGGAGAAGUGUGAGGGAAGAAUUAAGAAAAAAAAAAAAGAAAAUAAAAACAUUAAGUGCUAAAUCAAAGACAGAAUUAUGCAGGUUUUUUUGUCUCAUUCCAAAGGGCCCCAGAAGAAAAAUCCUGUUUUAUAAACCCAGAUGUAUAAGUGCUGAGUAUUUUUUGCUUCUGUGUGACUUCUAUUCCAGAUACCCAGACAUCCUGAGCUCUGCUUGGGUGCAGCUGCAAGUAAAAAUGUUGUUUUCUGUAGGGUGUUUUUCCCCUUCUUUUAGCCACCAAAAGCCACAGCUUCUGACUGAGCAAAACAACAACUAGUUUCAUCAUAGUUUAAUACCUUUAGAUGGUAAGAGGAGGAAACUUCUGGAAUUGAGGUCUGCAUGUUUUUAACACUACACCUCUCCACCUGACCAAGCUCUGAUGCCACUUUCAGCAAUAAAACUGGUCAAAACUGCUUGCCAAGAACUCUAAAGAGAUAAAGCACCAAACUAUGCACUUAACAGCAUUGCCCCUUGGUUUUAACACACACUGGUAAAGAUCAAUGAAAUAAAAGUGUGAUGACUGAGUCACUUCAGAACUACCA